GGGGACAUGGUCUAGUGGUAUGACGGAUCCUUAGCAUCUUUGAAGCCUCUCGCUUCACAGCUUGGAUCAGGUCCGGGGUUCGAUUCCCCGUGUCUCCA
rnacentral:tRNA from 1 species